UACGUAGGAUGCAAGCGUUAUCCGGAAUGACUGGGCGUAAAGGGUGCGUAGGCGGCAUGUCAAGUUGGCAGCGUAAUUCCGGGGCUUAACUCCGGAACUACUGCCAAAACUGGCGGGCUGGAGUGCGGCAGGGGUAUGUGGAAUUCCUAGUGUAGCGGUGGAAUGCGUAGAUAUUAGGAGGAACACCGGUGGCGAAAGCGACAUACUGGGCCGUAACUGACGCUGAGGCACGAAAGCGUGGGGAGCAAACAGG
rnacentral:rRNA from 1 species